rnacentral:rRNA from 1 species
CUACGGGCUGCUCCAGUGGGGAAUAUUGCACAAUGGACGAAAGUCUGAUGCAGCAACGCCGCGUGGAGGAUGACACAUUUCGGUGCGUAAACUCCUUUUAUAUCCCAAGAUAAUGACGGUAGGAUAUGAAUAAGCGCCGGCUAACUCCGUGCCAACAGCCGCGGUAAUACGGAGGGCGCAAGCGUUACUCGGAAUCACUGGGCGUAAAGAGCGUGUAGGCGGGUUAAUAAGUUGGGAGUGAAAUCCUAUGGCUUAACCAUAGAAUUGCUUCCAAAACUGUCAACCUAGAAUAUGGGAGAGGUAGAUGGAAUUUCUGGUGUAGGGGUAAAAUCCGUAGAGAUCAGAAGGAAUACCGAUUGCGAAGGCGAUCUACUGGAACAUUAUUGACGCUGAGACGCGAAAGCGUGGGGAGCAAACAGGAUUAGAUACCCGUGUAGUC